UACGUAGGGACCAAGCGUUGUCCGGAAUUAUUGGGCGUAAAGAGCUCGUAGGCGGCCGUUCACGUCGGGUGUGAAAGCUCAGGGCUCAACCCUGAGACGCCAUUCGAUACGGGACGGCUAGAGGUAGGUAGGGGAAAGUGGAAUUCCUGGUGUAGCGGUGAAAUGCGCAGAUAUCAGGAGGAACACCGGUGGCGAAGGCGGCUUUCUGGGCCUUACCUGACGCUGAGGAGCGAAAGCUGGGGGAGCAAACAGG
rnacentral:rRNA from 1 species